UCCUUCCUCCCUCCCAUCAGCCUUCUCCCGCAGGCCCUCAAGGGGCCUGUCCCCGCUUAGCACCCCUCCCGGAACUGUGCAUUCUGCCUUUCUGGGGCUGCUCUUGACCGUUGCCUUCAACCGCCGUUGGAAUUUUCUCUCGCUAAAAUUCUCAGCAGUUGGUGUCCUGGUUCUGCAGCCAAGUGGGCUGGACUAUCAUGCCUCAAGGACGCGGUCCAGACCUUCGUGUGGGGACCCAGCAGCAAGCAUGCUGGAAAUGCCCAGUGAACUUGUUGAUAAAUGAUUCAAUUAUGAACUUAAUUCCCAGCAUGGGUUCUGGGCCAGUCAGGGCUGCAUAUGACACCCUCUUGUCACUGCCUGAUGAUGGUUUUCCAGGGGCUCUCUCUGCCUUAGCUGAGGAAAAAGUUGAUGUAGUGGCCUUGCCAGGCCCAGCAGAUCAGGUUUUUGGGGCCUGGGAGACUUUGGCCCCCUCGUAUGGCCCCUCUCCUGUCCUCCCUGGGCUCUUGUGUGUGUCUUUCCCAGCAGGCACCCGGCCAAGUGCAUUCAGCUCAGCGAUGGGGCAGGGCUGUAUGGAGAUUUAUGUGCUGAAUUUAAUAACCUUUCUCCCUUCUCAGGGCGACAGAGGAAACCAGUAUCCCCAAGGUGGAGGUGUCCCCUUCCCCUGGGAGCCCUGCCUCCUCACAGGCUGCCAUGCUUUGUUGUCCCUGUGACUCACCAAGUGUGUGCAGAGGCUGGAGGGUGGGCAGGGGCUGGGAGGGGCUGGAGAAGAGGCCGGUCUUGCUUCUGACACUCGAACUCCUCAGAAUUGCCACCUGCCCUGUGUGUCAGCACUGAGAGGGCAUUUUAGAGAUGGACAGAGGCCUGGCCUUUUCCAUUUUUUGAGUACCUUGAAUAUUUGAAAAAAGAAGAAAAAUGCCAGAAUUGGUACAAAAAAUUGUAGGUGGUAUAUUCUAUUUAGAUGCUUAAUAAAAAAAUGCUUCUAAACACUUAUAAAAAUACAAUGGCUACGAGGACCCUCAUUUGGAGAGAAUGAUUCCAUAGAUCCAUAGACCAUAGAUUCACAGUCUAUGAUUUGAGGUCGUUUGUGGAUGAGAUUCAGAAUGCGUGGCUCUCCUGGUCCUCUGCUCCCCUUCACCUCCGUGUUAGAUAUGGGUGCCUUUGGCGGGGCAGGGUGGGGGGUCUCCUGCUGGAGGGCUCGGGGCCCCACUCUUCUACAGGACAAAAGCCUUCAGAUCAACCUUGUGCCCCUGGGGAGAGGAGUGGUGCCCUCAGGCUGGCCUGGCCUGGGCAGGGAGGGUCUCCUUGCUGGGCUGGGGUGAACAGCAGGUGGAGGGACACAACCUGAGUCAUCCGUGGGACACGAUGCCCCCUUCUCCUGAUGUCCUCCUCCUCCAGCCAGGGGCUCAUCACUGGGGUAUCUGGGUUACCUUGGUUACGACAUGGGAAAAGGAAGUUUUGUGAAUGGCUUCUCCUUGGGUGCUUUCAGACUUAAAUAGCUCCAUCAUUUGUGGCCAGCUUUCUGCUGGUUUCCUUCUGUGAUGAUAGCAGCCGCCAGUUCGCCUCAUGACAUGCCUACAUCAGCCAGGCAUUGUGUUAAGAGCUGAAAAUACAGCGGUUAUUCACGCUGGCUGUCCUGGGGGCAGGGGAGCUGACCGUUGAUUUGGGAGAAAGGCACAAGUGUGUGAGUCACCUCCAUAUAAUGAAGUGAGCACUCUUCUUGGAUUAUGACAGAACCAUAGAGGAGAGCCGCCCACCCAGGGCGGGGCAUUCCUGAGAAGGUUCUGGAACAGAGAGGGAGGCUGAGCUGAAUCCUGAUGAAGAAAGGACUUAGCCAGGCUGGAGUGGGUUGUGAGAAGAUCCAAGGGACGGGGGCACCCAGCUUGGGUCGAGGUAUAGAGGUGUGACAGAGCAAGGGUUGAGAAAAUGGGGGCCUGAGUAUCCAGGAAACAAGUAGGGGUGGAUGUGGAGUGGGAAUGAGGGGGCAGGGGUCUUAUCUCUCAGACUGGUGAGGAGCAAGAGAGCGAGGGGGUCCGGUGGGUGUUUUGGAUGAAACUCUUUAGUUGCAGUAUGAAGAGACAGAUCUCAGUGGGGGAAGGGGGGGUAGGGCUUGACUGGAGGAGGUAGAUGAUUGUAUGUGUAGGGGUGGCCCUGGGGAGAAGCCAUCAAACUAAGAAAGGAACAGAGUUGGGUGACAAGGUGUCUUGUGGCCUCAGGGGCAAUGGAAGGGAAUGUAGCUGGGCCAGGCUGAUGUUGGGCAGCAGCACUCAAGACCCUUCCAUAAUAGGAGUGAGGCAGCUGGGAGGGUGAGAGGAGCAGUGGAGAGGAGAAAUCCAUGGGGACAGAUGUGUAAGGGACAGGGGUAGGAGCCAGAUGGGGGCAGGGGCUGGGAAUGGGGGAGAGGAGAGCUUGGUGGAGAAUCCAGAGGGCACGAUUGGGUGGUCUGUCCCUCGUGUACCCACUUGGGCAUUCUGUCCCACCAGCAAGUGCAGGAACUCUGGGGUCACUGACCUGAGGCUUCAGGGUUGAUAUCUCCCUCCAGUGCCUGCCUAACACUGUGCCUGACACACAGUAGGUACUAAAUUAAUGUUAAGUCCACUGAACACAAAUACAGCAUGGAGGCCAGUGAGAGGAGGGCUGGAAACAUCCAGUGGCUUUGGCAAUGGAGGCGGGGCAUUUCUGGGGAGUGUUUCUGGGGGACAGGUGGAAGCGGAAACCAGAUUUCUGGGGAGUAAGGGAGGAGGUGGAGGAGGCAAUUUUUUUGGGUGGAGUUGGGUGAGUCAAGGGGUGAGGAAAUAGAAGACAAGGAGUCUGUCUAUUCUUUCUAGAAGCUUGGCCAUGACAGGAAGGAGAGGAAGGGCAAGACUCAUGGUUGAAGCACUUUUCAAACAUUAACAGUAACUUUUAUUGCUUCCUCCAUCCCUACAAAGAUUGGGCGUUCCUUACAGAAAAUCUAGGAAAUGCAUAUAAGGAGGCAAAAAAAGUAACAAAUAAAAAAAAAAAGAAAAUCGCCCGUUAAUCCCAUCCAUUGGCAAUAUACGCUGUUAAACCUUGCAGUCCUUGCCUUCCAGACUUUGUUGCUGUAGUUUUUUUUAGUAGAAAUGGGUGUCGUGCAUCACAUUUCUUACUUUGCGACAUAUCUUUUUCACUAUCUCUUGUAUAACUUCCUCUGUCCGAGCUACUAUUCCUCCAAAACAUCCUUUAAAAUUUUAUCUAUCUACCUAAAUGGUCCAAAUGGUUCAAACCUCAACACAUACAAAAGAGGGUUGAUUCAGUGAGAAGUUGCCUUUUAUUGCCUGCCCCUGAGCUACCGAGUUGGCCUUGGAGGCAACUGGUAUUUCCUUCUUUCGUCCAAUAUGGUGAUUAGAUACUAUUCCAAUGCAUGUGUCUUUCAAAACUUAUUUAAACAACUUCUCAUCUUAGAUAUUUAGACGUGACUUAGUUUUAUUUUGCUAUUAUACAUCAGGCUAUAGUAAGUCUUCUUCUAGCUAAAUCAUUGUGCACAUACCUUGUCUUCCUAGACUACAUUUCCAACAGUGGGAGUUCAGGGUCAGAAGGUAGAAAGACAACUACAGAAAACUUUAAAUACCAGGUUUUCCCUCCAAGGAAAUCAACGUCCAUUGGCGUUCCCCUCCGCAGAGCAUGAGAGUCUUUCUAUCCCCACCUGCCCCUCCACCCGUGUUAUUAAAACUCACUUCCUCCACCUGUGCCAAUUCAGUGUUUUUUUUUGUUGUUGUUGUUUUGUUUUUUUUUAAAGGUGCACGUGAGGGCCUCUAACCGUCACUGUGAGUUGCAUUUUGGGAGAAACAAAUGGCAGCAUGGGGGACGAUAGGGGACCAGGUGUUGCAAAGGCAGUUCUGAGCCUGGAAAGGGCUGACCUGGCGGGAGGACAGAGAAGAUUGAGCUGAGGAGUGAGCUGGCUGGCUUGUCAGUGAGCACCAAGCCCGGGGACAAGGCCCUUCUUCAUUUCUAGAAACCCCGCCCUGGCCAUGAGGAGCAGGAGGGCCUCCAGAGACCUGGAAGAAUUUGUGGGUGAGGUCCAGGGACAACUGGUAUAUGGUCUGGGCUGUUUUUUGUUCUUCUUUCAAGAGGCAAUCCUGUGGGUUCUUUGCUGACAGCAUCCGGGGCGGGGUUCCAGGAACAGCACGGAGCUGGGUGCAUGCUCUUGGGUGAGCAGAGUCCGCCUCUCCCUUGACUUUGCCUUGGGGUGACUGCAUGUGGCCUUGUGCUCCCAGAUGCAAGGCUGCAUGAUUCCCGAUUGGGGAAGAGAAGCAAAGGGCUGUUAGAGACACGCACCCAGCUGGAGCGAGCGCGGAGAAAAUCUGCCUCACCCUCAUUCAUACAUUCCCGGGCUUGCAAGGUCAGCACUGGGUGUCGGAUGGGCUGUUUCCUUUCGCAUUCACCCUUCCUUAGGGACCCUCUGGAAAGUCCCUGCUUUUCCCAUGCUGCCCCCAAGGGGAGCUGCUUCUCUCUGGUUGUUUUGCAUACAGCAGACAUCAGGCCUUUCUCCAGACUAUUUAGUGUGUGUGUGUGUGUGUGUGUGUGUGUGUGUUUCCCCAAAAGAGAAACAAAGAAAAUCGUUUGGUUUACAGUCUGUAGUUACUUGUCUCUGGGUUAGGAUCGCUGGAGGUUGCCCCCGCCUCGCGUCCAGCUUGACUUCCAAGUUUCUGAGGCCACAUUUAGCCCCUACUCCCCACCCCUGAGCUCCGUCAAGGACUGUCAACUCCCUUGAAAUUGACACCCCAGAGAGUUGGAAUGGGAAUCCUCACUCCCUGUAAAUUUGGAGUUGUAUUUUGUUGCUGCAGCUUGCUCAUUUCCUGGUUAUUCUCAUGGAUAAUUCUUGGGUUAUCCUUGAAUUGGAUAUAUAUGUAUAGAUAUAUCUUCUUUCCCCCCCCAAGGCCCUGUUUUUGUGUGUGUCAGGCAUCAUUUCCAGAGAGCCCACACUCCACCUAGAUUCUAUAUUGGUCUCUGCAUGCGGGGUUUAGGGCCGCUGUUACCCAAUUACCACAAACCAGGUGACUUAAAACAACAGAAAUGUAUUGUCUCACAGUUCUGUGAGUCAGAAGCCAGAAGUCAGGGCAUCAGCAGAGUUGGCUCCUUCUGGAGGCUCUGAGGGAGAAUCUGUUCCAUGUCCCUCUCCUCGCUUCUGGUCGUUGCUGGCAACCCGUGGCUUUCCCUGUCUUGUAGAAAUAUCACUCCAGCCUCUGCCUCUGUCUUCAUAUGGUGUUUUCCUCUCUGUAUGUGUCUUUGUGUGUCCUCUCCUUAUAAGGACAAAAGUCACUGGGUUUUAGGGCCCACCCCAAUCCAGUAGGAUCUCACCUUAACUAAUUACAUUUGCAAAGACCCUAUUUCCAAAUAAGGUCACAUUCUGAGGUGUUCUGGGUAGAUAUGGAUUUUCAAAGGUCACCGGUAAACCCACCACAGUCUCUUCACCUUCCGACCCUUCCUUCCACUGAUCCGUCCCAUGCACCUCACCAGAGCCAUUUUUCUCAAACCUCCUUAGCAGGAGCAACCAACCCUUAUGCCAAAAAUCUCCAGUGACUUCCCGCUGCCAACAGAAUAAAGUCCUAUCUCUUUAGCUCAACUUCAGAAGACUCACCAUAGUGUUGCUCCAGCGAUCUUUUUCACGUUCCUUGUCUCCACUCUCCUUCACACAUUCUCCAGCUGCAUCUGGAAGGUCUUCUGUGGCAUGGCACAUACUGUAAAGGGCUCUUGUCUUCUGCUAGGGCCUCUGUCCCUUGCCUAGAUGCUCUCCUUUUCAAGCAUCCCUGUCAUGUCAUAGCCUUUUUUCUCUGAUGAGAACAUCCCUGGCCAGUCGAGAUCAAGGGCUCAGUGCAGACCACAGACCGACUUCGAUGCCACCCCCUUCCUUCCCCCAUCCUCAGUGGCGAGCGAUGCUACUCUCUGCCAAGUGGAAUUUUUAUCCAAAGAUAAGCCUGUGUCUAAUACGUCUUUGGGUCUUUGGAUUGGAAAAUGAUGCAUUGAAUCUUGCGACUUCUUGGCAAAUGACUGUGGGUGCCACUGCUGUGAGCACAUGAGGGGGGUGAUUUGAAUCUGAAGCAACCAGGAUGCUCAUGGGUCAGUGCAUGAACUCCAUGCCUAUAGCCCCACUAGGUCUGAAGCAGAUGAAGAUCCCCUGUGUGGAGAUAAAAUGAGGGGAAGGAGAGAAUGGCUGCUGUAUUGAGAGUCAAGGGCAGUGGUCUUUCAAAGGAAGACGUAGGAGAAGCAGAUCCCUAAGGUUGGGUACUGAGGGGCACUGGGCUCAGUGGGAAGGGUUGUAGUGAUAUCCAGCAGGCCCCCUCCCCAUCCUCCCUGAUGGACGGUUGGUGAGCAAGAUGGCAGGUGGGACAGGGCUAGGGAGGGAGGUAAAAUGGAGACAUAGGGUACAAUGAACAGAAUGGGUUCCAACACCUUUCACUUCCAGCUUUCACAGAUGCCCUGAACACUUGAAAGCAACAAGGAAGUUUUCAUUGCAAAGAGUGAUGCUGGCAUCUUUUUCUAGCCCCUCCCAAGUGGCACUGAUUGACCAUUGACAACUGGCUCUUCAAACUCUCUUCCAAAGCAUUGCAUCUCUGUGGAGACACAUGAGGAAUGUAGUUCAUCUGCAAGUAGGUUUCCUCUAAACUGUCUUGCCUCAUGUGCUCUGUCUUUUUCCUCUGCUCAUACCUCAGUUGCAUCAAAGCCCCAUAGGCAUUGUCCCUGGGGAUCAAGAAGCAGUCCACCCCAAAAGGAAUAGCAGAGACAUAAAGAAUUGGAGUGAGAGAGAGUUCUGGGCAGAUGCUCAAGGUGUGGGUGGCAGGUUGAGCCCACUGAUUUGUGACAUUCUGCAUUUCAGGUACUGGGACAUUUCUAACAUCAAAAUCUUUGAAGCCACCAGGGCUCUUUCUUGCUGGGUCUUGGCAAUACUCCUUCAUGUCAUAGGUUUAGAAACUCAGGCUAAAGAAAGUACCCAGGGAAAAGUGCUUGCCCCUGGAAAUGUUUAUGAUAGCUCUGCUCCUUCCUCUAUUGACUCAUAACUCUGCAUGCAUGGUCUCACCUGGCUGGGUUCAGAAAAUAGUUAUCUUAUUAUAAAAACAGUAAACCCUUGACUCCAUUAAAUAAUUAUAGCUUCUUAGACAUCCCAUCUAAAAAGUUUCCCAUUUUUCUUCCUGACAAAUUGCCAAUUUGUGCAUUUUAAAGCAGAUGGAUUUAGUAAAAUUUCCUUUGUCAGUAAGUAUUCUGUGCAGCAAAUCUGUUUCCAGGUCCUAAAGGCGACUUUGCUCAGGUUCAAGCCAACAACCUCCACCCCCCAACCAAACAAAAAGGAAUGACCCCAGUUUGAGUUAGUCGUAUCCAUAUACAUGAAGAAUGUCCAUGAGUUUGAAAUGUUUUAAGAAUCAUGAAGGGCGGGGGAGAGGAGAAAAGAGGAAAAGGAUGAAUUGCUUAUGAUUCUGCUCUUAAGGAGUGAUUUUAUGUCACUGCUCCCUGCUACUGGAAGUUGCCAUCCACCUCUGACCAAAGUACAAAGAACAUUUGACACAACAUAAAACAUGAAAAGAACUUUCAGUGGCUUAGUGUCCUGGCUGUGACUCAAAUGUGCAUGCCCAGGCAGGCUCCACAGUGGAGGUCUGGCUCCAUUGCUCUACUCUAGGAGGCUGAAGCAGAUGUGGUCCAUUAAUAUCACUCUCUUGCCAAUAGCAGUUUCCAUCGAUGGAAGCUGGACUGAUCCAACUGUAGUCUUACUUCUGAAACAUCCAAGGAUUCUAGGUAGCUGCUUCUGUGUUUCUUUUUCCAACUAGACAGUGAAUUCCUUGAGGGAAAGGAUAAUGUCCAUUUGGUUUGCAUCUGUAGACAUCAGCUCAGUAAUUGGCACAUAAAGGCACUCUGAUAAAAAAAAUUUUUUUUUAAUGAAAUGGUUUAAAAACAGCAAGAUCCUCUGUAAAAGUAGGACAUUAUACUCCUCUAGUUUUCUUCAGAGCAUAUAAAUAUUUGAUAGGAGGUUGCACCAGGACUGGGAUUCUGACUCCUAGUGGUGCCGGGAUCUGGGGCUCCGGGACUUAGAGACAGAAGAGAUGGAACUCUGGUUCCGUCAAGGACAAAGCUGAUGGGAAACUGUGGCAUGGGUGUUAGGAGGGAGGGUGAAUUAGUUUCCUAUAGCUGCUGUAACAAAUUACACCAAAAGAUGAGUGGGUUAAAACAACACCAACUUAUUAGCUUAACCAUUCUGGAAGUCAGAAGUUCAAAAUGAGUCCCCCGGGCUAAAAUCAAGGUGUUGACAAGGCUGUGUUCCCUGGGGAGGCUCUAGGGGAGAAUAGUUUUCUUGCAUUUUCCCAUUUCUAGAGGCCAUCUGCAUCGUUUGGCUCAUGGCCUCUGCCUCCGUCUUCAAAACCAACAUCUUCAAAUCUCUCUCUGACUCUUACCCUGACCCUCCUGCUUCCCUCUUUGACUUAUAAGGACCCUUGAGAUUACAUGGGGCUCAACUGGUUCCCCAUCUCAAGGUUACCUGAUUAGCAGUCUAAAUUCCAUCUGCAACUUUAAUUCCCCUUUUCCAUGUAACAUAACAUAUUCACAAAUUCUGAGGAGUAGGGCAUGGAUGGCUUUUGAGGGGAGGCAUUAUUCUGUUUACCACAGAAGGGCACCUGGGUGGUCAUGGAGUCCAGCAUCCUCGUGCUACACUUGAGGAAACUCAAGCUCCAAGAGUUUAUUGGAAUUCCAACUGUUUUCCUCCACAGGAGAGUUAAGCUCACUCUAAGGCCCGACCGUCUGCACCCAGAGCCCUAAGCAAGACUCAGCAGGAGGCCCCUGGCCUCCUCUUCCUCCAGUUCUUUCUUCUACACCUGUGCCUCAUUGCUUUCCCACCCUGUCCAGGGGAGGGUGCCAGGGUGUGUGUGUGUGUGUGGGUCACAGUACACCUGACCCAUGUCCAGACUGGAUGGAGAGUGGCCAUUUCAUGGGGCCAGAGAAUGGAUUGGACCCAUCCAUAAGAGCCCUGUCAUUUUUGCAGAAGCAUGAGCUCUUAGAAGUACAGCUUCUGGAGAGAGGGGAGGAUAGGUGAUGGGUAUUGAAGAGGGCGUCUUUUGGGAUGAGCACUGGAUGUUGUAUGGAAACCAAGUUGACAAUAAAUUUCAUAUAUUAAAAAAAAAAAAAGAAGUACAGCUUCUGGAGCCACCUGCGUGGCUCAGUGACUUAAGUGUCGGACUUCAGCUCAGGUCAUGAUCUCACAGAUCCUGAGUUCAAGCUCCACAUGGGACUCACUGCUGUCAGCUCAGAGCCCACUUCAGAUCCUCUGUAUCCUCUCCCCCUCGCCCCUCCCUCUCCUCUUUCUCAUAAACAAAUAAACAUUAAAGAAAAAAAGAAUGGGUGUCUGCAUGGCUCAGUUGGUUAAGUGUCCGACUUUUGAUUUUGGCUCAGGUCCUGAUCUCACGGUUUGUGUGUUCGAACCCUGUGUUCGACAGGGCUUCUGCACUGACAGCGUGGAGCCUGCUUGUGAUUCUGUCUCUCCUUCUCUCUGUCCCUCUCUCUCUCUCUCUCUCAAAAAUAAAUAAAACGUUUUUUAAAAAAAAGAAAAAGAGAAAAAAAAGAAAAAAAAAAAGAAGUACAUCUGCCAGUUGCCUAACUAGGACACUGAACUCAAGGGACUUGGGGCCUCAAGAAUCUGAAAGCCUGUAUUGUCCUUACUAGGAAGUCCAUAAAAGGGGGAACUAGUGGGUGAUCCCCAACUGGCUGGUUCACAACUGACACUGAUAUUGCUGCUGGGGCCGCUGCUGUGGGUUUCUCAGCCUGGAGACCCUGUUGGACCAUGGCCCAUUCUUGGCAAAAGAAGGUUCCGGCUGCCGAGUGUCCUUUGAGUAGAUGCGGGUGAUUCUGGCCCCAGAGCUCAAGUUUAAGGCAGUAGGUGGUCCAGGAGGCACAAGAGCAGGUCCCCGGUCAAGGCCGGGGCCAGAGGAGAAGACACAGGAGGAUUUACUGCAUGAGACAUUUACUAGGAAAGAGCAAACCACCAUCUGGGGGAGCAGAGGACCAGGGGACGGGACAGGUCUUAUUCCUAAAGUUCCCUCCUUUCAUGUCACUCCGUUCUGUGUAGCUGGCCAGCCCCUUUACCUUCACCACAGCCAACAAAAGCCUCUGGCCAAGGACACGAGGGCCCAGGACCUUGCUUGGAAUUCCUCAGAACCCUGGGAUGCAGCCAGUCUGGUGGGGGGAAGAUGGGGUGUUAAGGGUGGAUGGGACCACUGAGGAAGGCAGGCCAGGCCUUUGGAGGCAGUUGACAUGGCUCCGUGAAGCACAAGGGGACCAUGGCCCCCUCAGCGUAGGGCUAUAGAGUUCCCCAUAUGUCCCCUGGCAGCUGACAGGUGGAGACAAGAACCCUGACCCGAGAGGUGAGUGAAAAGAGAAGCAAGGUAUCUUCACCCAGGGGAGAGCCCAUGUCCUCUGGCUGAGUGCCUGGCGAGGUUGGGAUCACCAUGAGCAAGUUCUACUUUGAUUGAAAGUCUCUAACCCAGGAUUCUGGACCAAAACCUCAGCAUCCUCUGAAGGAGACACAGCUGAGGAUCCGAAAGGGCAGAGAGAGCUUGUGAGGAAACGGGUGCAGGUGAAACUGGGGAGAACAGGUGGAAAUGGGUCAGGGACGUGGCUGAGGCUGAGGUUGGCGGUUCCAGUGAUGAUGGAGGUCGAGGAAGAUGACGCGUCGGGGAUCAGGAUGUGCUUCUGAGACACAAUAUCGAGGAAGAAUGAGGUGGGGGUAUCGAUCAGCCUGAGGGAUAUUCCUUUUGCAGAUGGGCAGUGUUGAUGGAGCCCUGCCUUUUCAGCGGUGCUGAAAACUGGGCAGCCCCAGGGAGGAGAGAGGCCUUAUAUACUUUGUCUAUGCCUACAGCUGCAGACAAGAAGGCAGGGCACCCGCCUUUCCCCAGAAGAAUCAGUUGAGAAGGACAUAGCCGCUGCCCCUAGGGAAGCCCCUGCUUCCUUCCCGUCAGGGCCCUCCAAAGGCUGCACAACCCAGGCCCCCAGAAGUGAGCCCCCCUAAUGUGUAGUGGAAAAUGAAUCCUAAAGGAAGGCCAGACUGCCACCUGACGAGCACCCUAGACUGGAUGUCACUUGGAGCCUCCUGGGGCUCCGGUGCCCUGUGAAUCUCUUCCUCUUGGAACCUGGGCAACAGAUAUCUAGUGCCUUGCUGGGCCCCAGGCUCUCCUGCCAGCAGUGCCUGAGAUGGGAAGACUGAGAGCUAAGAUUCUCCUUUAGGAACUCAGUGUUCAAAAAUGUGCCAUGACCCAUGGUGGCCCUUUUUCUCUUGGGGCUCCAGAGAGCUUCUGAGCUGGACAGACAGGAAUAAGAGAACCCAGCAGAAAUGGAGGGAGAAGCAAGAGGUCCAGAGUCUGGGAAAAUGUCAUUGGAAAGUAGCUAGCACGGAAAUGUGAGUUUCCCACCCUCUACUAUUCUGAUAUUCUCAGGAGCUGGGAAGCUGGCAUAAAAAAUAGUCAAGGUUUUAAAGCUGCAAUGGACUAUAUUCUGUUUCUUUCAAAAUUCUUUUCACAUCCUCCCUGGCAGAGAGGCCUGCCUGCUUUCCUAUCAACACUGAAGAAUGUAUAGCAGCAUCUAUAUAUACAGCCUGAGGUGUGCUCCCAGAGCCUGAUGGUUGGAGCUGCCUCCCUGGCUCUUUCUUCCAAUUGAUGGAAUGGUGUCUGUAAAAAUGUUUUGAAAAUAUGAAAAGUGGCAAAUUGGCCUUCAUGACAAAUAGAACUUAAUGUAACAUAUUUUACACGUUAAAUCUCCACGAACAAAAGCAAUCUCUAAUGUUUUCUUUCUCAGGGCAAAUUUCUUGGCAUUUACAUACCUUCAGUGUUUUACUGUGAUCCUGGCUGGUGGGGGUGGGGAGUUAUCAUAAUAAAUAAAACAGCUUUCACCUGUA